CGGUAAUACGGAGGAUGCAAGCGUUAUCCGGAAUCACUGGGUUUAAAGGGUGCGCAGGCGGAAUAGUAAGUCAGAGGUGAAAGCCCACAGCUCAACUGUGGAAUUGCCUUUGAUACUGGUUAUUCUUGAGUGUAGUUGAAGUAGGCGGAAUAUAGCAUGUACCGGUGAAAUGCAUAGAUAUGCUAUAGAACACCAAUUGCGAAGGCAGCUUGCUAAACUAUAACUGACGCUGAGGCACGAAAGCGUGGGGAGCGAACAGGAUUAGAUACCCUGGUAGUCCACGCCGUAAACUAUGAACACUCGCUGUUGGCAAUACACAGUCAGCGGCUGAGCGAAAGCGUUAAGUGUUCCACCUGGGAAGUACGAUCGCAAGGUUGAAACUCAAAGGAAUUGACGGGGGCCCGCACAAGCGGAGGAGCAUGUGGUUUAAUUCGAUGAUACGCGAGGAACCUUACCUGGGCUUAAAUGUAUAUUGACGUACUGAGAAAUCAGUAUUUCUUCGGACAAUUUACAAGGUGCUGCAUGGUUGUCGUCAGCUCGUGCCGUGAGGUGUCGGGUUAAGUCCCAUAACGAGCGCAACCCCUACUUCUAGUUACCAGCAUUUCGGAUGGGGACUCUAGAGGAACUGCCUACGCAAGUAGAGAGGAAGGUGGGGAUGACGUCAAAUCAGCACGGCCCUUAUGUCCAGGGCUACACACGUGCUACAAUGGCCGGUACAGAGGGCAGCUACAUAGCAAUAUGAUGCUAAUCUCAAAAGCCGGUCUCAGUCCGGAUUGGAGUCUGCAACUCGACUCCAUGAAGCUGGAUUCGCUAGUAAUCGCACAUCAGCAAUGGUGCGGUGAUACGUUCCCGGGCCUUGUACACACCGCCCGUCAAGCCAUGGAAGUUGGGGGUACCUGAAGUCGAUUGCCGUAAGGCGUUGCCUAGGGUAAACCAAUGACUGGGGCU
rnacentral:rRNA from 1 species